rnacentral:rRNA from 1 species
AGUGAACGCUGGCGGUAGGCCUAACACAUGCAAGUCGAACGGCAGCACAGUAAGAGCUUGCUCUUACGGGUGGCGAGUGGCGGACGGGUGAGGAAUACAUCGGAAUCUACUAUUUCGUGGGGGAUAACGUAGGGAAACUUACGCUAAUACCGCAUACGACCUACGGGUGAAAGCAGGGGAUCUUCGGACCUUGCGCGAUUGAAUGAGCCGAUGUCGGAUUAGCUAGUUGGCGGGGUAAAGGCCCACCAAGGCGACGAUCCGUAGCUGGCCUGAGAGGAGGGUCGGCGGCACUGGAAGUGAGACACGGACAAGACGCCUACGAGAGGCAGCAGAGGGGAAUAUUAGACAAUGGGGGGAAGCCUGGUCCAGCCAUACCGCGUGGGUGAAGAAGGCGUUCGGGUUGUAAAGCCCUUUUGUUGGGAAAGAAAAGCAGCAGGUUAAUACGCCGCUGGACUGACGGUAACCAAAGAAUAAGCACCGGCUAACUACGUG